AUACUGAGAUAAUGUUAACUACAACUAUAGUUGACAAGGAAGCAUUUUACAUGUUGGCUACUUGCACCACGAUACUGGACUAGUGUUAACUACAACUACAGUUGACAAGGAAACAUUUUACAUGUUGGCUACUUGCACCACGAUACUGGACUAGUGU